AGGAGCACGAAGGUUGGCUAAUCCUGGUCGGACAUCAGGAGGUUAGUGCAAUGGCAUAAGCCAGCUUGACUGCGAGCGUGACGGCGCGAGCAGGUGCGAAAGCAGGUCAUAGUGAUCCGGUGGUUCUGAAUGGAAGGGCCAUCGCUCAACGGAUAAAAGGUACUCCGGGGAUAACAGGCUGAUACCGCCCAAGAGUUCAUAUCGACGGCGGUGUUUGGCACCUCGAUGUCGGCUCAUCACAUCCUGGGGCUGAAGUAGGUCCCAAGGGUAUGGCUGUUCGCCAUUUAAAGUGGUACGCGAGCUGGGUUUAGAACGUCGUGAGACAGUUCGGUCCCUAUCUGCCGUGGGCGCUGGAGAACUGAGGGGGGCUGCUCCUAGUACGAGAGGACCGGAGUGGACGCAUCACUGGUGUUCGGGUUGUCAUGCCAAUGGCACUGCCCGGUAGCUAAAUGCGGAAGAGAUAAGUGCUGAAAGCAUCUAAGCACGAAACUUGCCCCGAGAUGAGUUCUCCCUGAGACUUAGAGUCUCCUGAAGGAACGUUGAAGACGACGACGUUGAUAGGCCGGGUGUGUAAGCGCAGCGAUGCGUUGAGCUAACCGGUACUAAUGAACCGUGAGGCUUAACCUUACA
rnacentral:rRNA from 1 species